rnacentral:RNase_P_RNA from 2 species
CGAGUCGGCAGGGCGGUCGCGGCGGGGAGACCCGUCGAGGAAAGUCCGGACUCCACAGGGCAGGGUGGUUGCCAACAGCAACCCGGGGCGACCCGCGGGACAGUGCCACAGAGAACAGACCGCCUGGUGUGACCCACCAGGUAAGGGUGAAACGGUGGUGUAAGAGACCACCAGCACCCCGGGUGACCGGGGUGGCUCGGUAAACCCCACCCGGAGCAAGGCCAAGAGGGAUCCGCGAGGAUCCUGCGCAGGCGUUCGAGGGCUGCCCGCCCGAGCCUGCGGGUAGGCCGCACGAGCCUGUCGGCGACGGCAGGCCAAGAUGGAUGACCGCCCAUCGGCGCGCGGGUGACCGCGGCGCCGGGGACAGAAUCCGGCUUACAUGCCGACUCGUUCG